rnacentral:rRNA from 1 species
UGGGGAAUAUUGCACAAUGGGCGCAAGCCUGAUGCAGCCAUGCCGCGUGUAUGAAGAAGGCCUUCGGGUUGUAAAGUACUUUCAGCGGGGAGGAAGGGAGUAAGGUUAAUAACCUUAUCAAUUGACGUUACCGACAGAAGAAGCACCGGCUAACUCCGUGCCAGCAGCCGCGGUAAUACGGAGGGUGCAAGCGUUAAUCGGAAUUACUGGGCGUAAAGCGCACGCAGGCGGUUGAUUGAGUCAGAUGUGAAAUCCCCGGGCUUAACCCGGGAAUUGCAUCUGAUACUGGUCAGCUAGAGUCUUGUAGAGGGGGGUAGAAUUCCAUGUGUAGCGGUGAAAUGCGUAGAGAUGUGGAGGAAUACCGGUGGCGAAGGCGGCCCCCUGGACAAAGACUGACGCUCAGGUGCGAAAGCGUGGGGAGCAAACAGG